rnacentral:pre_miRNA from 1 species
CAUGCUGUUCUUAUGAGAUUUUGGUCCCUAUCAACCAGCUGUAGUGGAUAGCUUCAUCAUCAGACAUACUGUUACUUGUUUUCUAUAUGCCUUUCGAAUGUUUUUAAUAUAUUUACAAGAAUGUUAGUUGAAAUUUGGAAUA